rnacentral:rRNA from 1 species
UACGAAGGGGGCUAGCGUUGCUCGGAAUCACUGGGCGUAAAGCGCACGUAGGCGGACUCUUAAGUCAGGGGUGAAAUCCUGGAGCUCAACUCCAGAACUGCCUUUGAUACUGAGAGCCUUGAGUCCGGAAGAGGUAAGUGGAACUGCGAGUGUAGAGGUGAAAUUCGUAGAUAUCAGGUGGAACACCAGUGGCGAAGGCGGCUUUCUGGACGGUAACUGACGCUGAGACGCGAAAGCGUGGGGAGCAAACAGG